GUGCUUAUGUCGGCAGCACGCAUACUAAAAUUAGAAUGAUAUAGAGAUUAGCGAGGCUCCUGUGCAAGGAUGACAUGCAAACUCAUGAAGCAUUCCAUAUUUUU
rfam:Myotis davidii contig164608, whole genome shotgun sequence.